GAAGCGCACAGCACACCGCAUCCUCAUUAUCUUCUGAACAGAUGAACAUCGCACUCCAUCACUGAGCUGCAGGACGACUGCAUAGGAGAAGAAGAGAAGAUAGAGUCUCUCCCAACAUGGCAGCAUCACCGAAGCAGUUCACAAACACACAGUCCACACACACACACACACACACAGCUGCCACCAGUGAGGGCUCACACAGAUGGACAUCGGAGCUAUAGAUACUGCUGAGUUGGAGAAGAGAAUGAGCUGGUCAGCCUGAGCUGCGUCUUCUGCUUUGAGUCAGUGACCAUGGAGAACACCACCUACCACAACUCCUCCUACCAGACGUUCAUGUUGCCUUUACAGUCAACGUGGAGGAUGGAGAACUCCACCUGGCUGGCCUCCACCACCAUAGAUAUGUCUACGUCCACCAUCAGAGCUUCGUCUACGUCCAGCACCCAACUGGUCUUUCUCCCUUUCCUCCUCCUCCUCAUCUUCGCCACAGUGGCGGGGAACAUGUUGGUGAUCAUGGCCGUGACGCGCACCCAUGGCCGUGGGCUGCGGACCACCACGGGCGUGCUGCUGACCUCGCUGGCGUGCGCGGACCUGGUGAUGGGCCUGCUGGUGCUCCCGCCGGGCGCCGGGCUGGUGGUGAGCGGCCGCUGGGCACUGGGCGAGCGCGCCUGCCGGCUCUGGACCGGCGUGGACGUGCUCUGCGUGACGGCCAGCAUCGGGACGCUGUGCGGCAUCGCCGUGGACCGUUACGUGGCCAUCACGCGGCCGCUGCGCUACGCCAGUCUCCUGGGCAAGCGCCGCGCGCGCCUGCUGGUCUGCGUGGUCUGGAGUGUGGCGGUGCUCAACGGGAUCCUCGUGGCCUGCGUGCUGGAGCCGCAGAGGUGGACGGCGACGAGGACGGACUGCUGUGAGUUCCGCAUCUCGCCCACGUACGCGCUCGUGUCCUCCAUCGUCUCUUUCUACCUGCCGCUCCUCAUCAUGGCGUUCGUCUACAGCCGCGUCUACACCAUCGCCCGCCACCAGCUCCGCGCCAUCGACCGGAACCGCCAGCGCUUCUUUCGGACUCAGAGCUCCGUCUGCAGCGAGCUGGAGUCCUGCGCCAGCCCGACCUCCGUCAGCCCCGCUACGUCCGCCCCACCUGUGGCCGUCGGGGGAGUGACGCCGGCACGCAGUGCCCAGUCCAGCCGGGGCAGAGGUGCGCUGCGGAGACAGCUGCAGGCACUGCGCACCCUGGGCAUCAUCAUGGGCACAUUCACACUCUGCUGGCUGCCCUUCUUUGUGGCCAAUGUCAUCAGGCCAUUUCGUGUGGCACCCCAAGACAGCAGACACCAACAGGCAGCGUGCACAGACCUCUUCACAGUGCUCAACUGGCUGGGCUACCUCAACUCUGCACUGAACCCCCUGAUCUACUGCCACAGCCCCGAGUACCGGCACGCCUUCAGGAAUCUGCUGCGGAUGCCCACCGUAGCCAGGCCCAGCAUGGACGGCCUCUACAAGGCCCUGCGCUCCAGCUGCCCCUGUGCCCCCCGCCCCGGGCACGACCUGAGGGUGGCACAAGAGGCAGGUGAGGGGGACCUGAACAGUGCUCCUGGCGUGAUGGGCAGCGUUCCUGGCGUGAUGGGCAGCGUUCCUGGUGUGAUGGGCAGCGCUCCUGGCGUGACGUGAACAGCGCUCCUGGCGUGAGGACGGCUGGAGAUGCGGCACUGCAGCAGAGUUGAGACCUGGUGGUGUGAUAUCCAGUAUAUGCACAGUGAGAGGUGAACCCCUUGUAACCAUCCUGUGACCUCCGACCCUGAGCCUGACCUCUGACCCCACAGUCAGCACCCAUGGGCUCACUGGAGUAUACAUCUAACAGAAGACUCAUGCCGCAAAGCCCUCUGGGAAACAAAACACGCAUACCAGAAUGUGACAAACACGUUAAAACUGCUGGAUUCCUGCCUGCUCACGUUUGUGUGUGCACAUCUUAAACCCCUGCGUCAGUUCAUGUACUCACCUCCACAAAUACUGUUGCUAGCUUGACUCAUUCAAAAUGGCUUUACUAGUCUCACUGUUUGUAUGCAGUGCUACCAAAGCACAAAGAACAGGAACAUCAAACAAAUAAAAGCAAGGCUAAUAAAGUUGGGAUUACCUAGUGUUUGGUCGAGCUCUGCUGAAGACUCUUAGAUACAGCUAAGAAUGGCAGAGGCCUGAGGAGGAGGACUGCUCACUGGAGUUAAGUCAUCUGUGAUUGGUCAAUUAUUGUUAACAAGAGAGUCAACCGUUUGCUUUUAAUCUGAGCAUCUAUAGAUCUAUAGGAAGUUCAAGUUCAAGUUUAUUAUCAUGUACUCAUAAAUAAGCAUUUAUCAGCAUUGAAAUUCCUUGUGCAUAGGGAAGGGAAUUCAUUUGUCAAUCCCUUGAAGUUGAAAGUAUAUAGGCCGUUCAAUUUCACAAUAACCAACUGGACAUGACAAUGAUACAAAGAUAAAGUCUUGGAGGAAAAACAUACUCCCUGGUUUGACCAGAGAAGAGACAGAGGAUGAGACACAGGAUGAAUCAGAAUUAGAGACGAAUUCCACUUGUCAAACACAUCUCAAACACAGAGACAACACAUCUCCAACAGCUCAAUGGGAUCCAAGCUCACAGCAGCACACAGAUCUCCAGCAGGACAAAGAUCUCCGGCAGCACACAGAUCUCCACAGAUCUCCAGCAGCAGCAGC